CGCGGCCUAUCAGCUUGUUGGUGAGGUAAUGGCUCACCAAGGCGACGACGGGUAGCCGGCCUGAGAGGGUGACCGGCCACACUGGGACUGAGACACGGCCCAGACUCCUACGGGAGGCAGCAGUGGGGAAUAUUGCACAAUGGGCGAAAGCCUGAUGCAGCGACGCCGCGUGAGGGAUGACGGCCUUCGGGUUGUAAACCUCUUUCAGCAGGGAAGAAGCCACAAGUGACGGUACCUGCAGAAGAAGCACCGGCUAACUACGUGCCAGCAGCCGCGGUAAUACGUAGGGUGCGAGCGUUGUCCGGAAUUACUGGGCGUAAAGAGCUCGUAGGUGGUUUGUCGCGUCGUCUGUGAAAUCCCGGGGCUUAACUUCGGGCGUGCAGGCGAUACGGGCAUAACUUGAGUGCUGUAGGGGAGACUGGAAUUCCUGGUGUAGCGGUGAAAUGCGCAGAUAUCAGGAGGAACACCAAUGGCGAAGGCAGGUCUCUGGGCAGUAACUGACGCUGAGGAGCGAAAGCGUGGGGAGCGAACAGGAUUAGAUACCCUGGUAGUCCACGCCGUAAACGUUGGGCACUAGGUGUGGGGGGACGUCAACUCCCUCCGUGCCGUAGCUAACGCAUUAAGUGCCCCGCCUGGGGAGUACGG
rnacentral:rRNA from 1 species